GGUUGUGUAUGGGAGUGGGAGUGGGGGGCAAGGAUAUGCUCCUUAUUGGUUGAUCUAUAAAUAUGCUAAUGAUAUGCCAAUUCAGCAUCAGUUGAUAGAACAUUCCAAAAUACCAUGGGAAUGAUUGCAUCAUAAUACCAAUUGCCAGGAUUGGAGCUUCCAAGCCCGUUCUACUUAUUCUAAUUUCUAUGGACGACACACAGACGACACACACAGACGACACACACAGACUGCUGUUGGGCUCAUCCCGCCCCUCAUCCCCAAAGAAAUAGCAUGCUGGGUGAGGGACGGGACACAGCGGCCCAGUCUCCUGUCUCCUACAGGGCCUAAAUAGCACCGUCAAUGACACAGCUCCACCCCGGCACACUGACAAAGAGGACAAAUUACAGAGGGGCAACAGAGACAGCUGUGUUAAUAACGGCCUCACGUCUCAUCACAAUGAAUCUCUGUCUGCAACGAGCCCAUUGAGGAUGCCACAGACAGGAAAUGAUGCAGGAUGAGAUGAGAUCACGCAGAUUUCUGACUCACCUGUUGUGGUGGCCGUCGUGGAGGCAGAAGGGAAUCGUCAGGACAUGGAACGA